rnacentral:rRNA from 1 species
GUGCCAGCCGCCGCGGUAAUACCGGCAGCCCGAGUGAUGGCCGAUCUUAUUGGGCCUAAAGCGUCCGUAGCUGGGUCUGAAAGUCCAUCGGGAAAUCCACUCGCUCAACGAGUGGCCGUCCGGUGGAAACUCCACACCUUGGGACCGGAAGGCUCGAAGGGUACGUUCGGGGUAGGAGUGAAAUCCCAUAAUCCCGCACGGACCACCGAUGGCGAAAGCACUUCGAGAAAACGGAUCCGACAGUGAGGGACGAAAGCCAGGGUCUCCAACCGGAUUAGAUACCCGAGUAGUCC